rnacentral:rRNA from 1 species
GGUUAAGCGACUAAGCGUACACGGUGGAUGCCCUGGCAGUCAGAGGCGAUGAAGGACGUGCUAAUCUGCGAUAAGCGUCGGUAAGGUGAUAUGAACCGUUAUAACCGGCGAUUUCCGAAUGGGGAAACCCAGUGUGUUUCGACACACUAUCAUUAACUGAAUCCAUAGGUUAAUGAGGCGAACCGGGGGAACUGAAACAUCUAAGUACCCCGAGGAAAAGAAAUCAACCGAGAUUCCCCCAGUAGCGGCGAGCGAACGGGGAGCAGCCCAGAGCCUGAAUCAGUGUGUGUGUUAGUGGAAGCGUCUGGAAAGGCGCGCGAUACAGGGUGACAGCCCCGUACACAAAAAUGCACAUGCUGUGAGCUCGAUGAGUAGGGCGGGACACGUGGUAUCCUGUCUGAAUAUGGGGGGACCAUCCUCCAAGGCUAAAUACUCCUGACUGACCGAUAGUGAACCAGUACCGUGAGGGAAAGGCGAAAAGAACCCCGGCGAGGGGAGUGAAAAAGAACCUGAAACCGUGUACGUACAAGCAGUGGGAGCACGCUUAGGCGUGUGACUGCGUACCUUUUGUAUAAUGGGUCAGCGACUUAUAUUCUGUAGCAAGGUUAACCGAAUAGGGGAGCCGAAGGGAAACCGAGUCUUAACUGGGCGUUAAGUUGCAGGGUAUAGACCCGAAACCCGGUGAUCUAGCCAUGGGCAGGUUGAAGGUUGGGUAACACUAACUGGAGGACCGAACCGACUAAUGUUGAAAAAUUAGCGGAUGACUUGUGGCUGGGGGUGAAAGGCCAAUCAAACCGGGAGAUAGCUGGUUCUCCCCGAAAGCUAUUUAGGUAGCGCCUCGUGAAUUCAUCUCCGGGGUAGAGCACUGUUUCGGCAAGGGGGUCAUCCCGACUUACCAACCCGAUGCAAACUGCGAAUACCGGAGAAUGUUAUCACGGGAGACACACGGCGGGUGCUAACGUCCGUCGUGAAGAGGGAAACAACCCAGACCGCCAGCUAAGGUCCCAAAGUCAUGGUUAAGUGGGAAACGAUGUGGGAAGGCCCAGACAGCCAGGAUGUUGGCUUAGAAGCAGCCAUCAUUUAAAGAAAGCGUAAUAGCUCACUGGUCGAGUCGGCCUGCGCGGAAGAUGUAACGGGGCUAAACCAUGCACCGAAGCUGCGGCAGCGACGCUGAUGCGUUGUUGGGUAGGGGAGCGUUCUGUAAGCCUGCGAAGGUGUGCUGUGAGGCAUGCUGGAGGUAUCAGAAGUGCGAAUGCUGACAUAAGUAACGAUAAAGCGGGUGAAAAGCCCGCUCGCCGGAAGACCAAGGGUUCCUGUCCAACGUUAAUCGGGGCAGGGUGAGUCGACCCCUAAGGCGAGGCCGAAAGGCGUAGUCGAUGGGAAACAGGUUAAUAUUCCUGUACUUGGUGUUACUGCGAAGGGGGACGGAGAAGGCUAUGUUGGCCGGGCGACGGUUGUCCCGGUUUAAGCGUGUAGGCUGGUUUUCCAGGCAAAUCCGGAAAAUCAAGGCUGAGGCGUGAUGACGAGGCACUACGGUGCUGAAGCAACAAAUGCCCUGCUUCCAGGAAAAGCCUCUAAGCAUCAGGUAACAUCAAAUCGUACCCCAAACCGACACAGGUGGUCAGGUAGAGAAUACCAAGGCGCUUGAGAGAACUCGGGUGAAGGAACUAGGCAAAAUGGUGCCGUAACUUCGGGAGAAGGCACGCUGAUAUGUAGGUGAGGUCCCUCGCGGAUGGAGCUGAAAUCAGUCGAAGAUACCAGCUGGCUGCAACUGUUUAUUAAAAACACAGCACUGUGCAAACACGAAAGUGGACGUAUACGGUGUGACGCCUGCCCGGUGCCGGAAGGUUAAUUGAUGGGGUUAGCGCAAGCGAAGCUCUUGAUCGAAGCCCCGGUAAACGGCGGCCGUAACUAUAACGGUCCUAAGGUAGCGAAAUUCCUUGUCGGGUAAGUUCCGACCUGCACGAAUGGCGUAAUGAUGGCCAGGCUGUCUCCACCCGAGACUCAGUGAAAUUGAACUCGCUGUGAAGAUGCAGUGUACCCGCGGCAAGACGGAAAGACCCCGUGAACCUUUACUAUAGCUUGACACUGAACAUUGAGCCUUGAUGUGUAGGAUAGGUGGGAGGCUUAGAAGUGUGGACGCCAGUCUGCAUGGAGCCGACCUUGAAAUACCACCCUUUAAUGUUUGAUGUUCUAACGUUGACCCGUAAUCCGGGUUGCGGACAGUGUCUGGUGGGUAGUUUGACUGGGGCGGUCUCCUCCUAAAGAGUAACGGAGGAGCACGAAGGUUGGCUAAUCCUGGUCGGACAUCAGGAGGUUAGUGCAAUGGCAUAAGCCAGCUUGACUGCGAGCGUGACGGCGCGAGCAGGUGCGAAAGCAGGUCAUAGUGAUCCGGUGGUUCUGAAUGGAAGGGCCAUCGCUCAACGGAUAAAAGGUACUCCGGGGAUAACAGGCUGAUACCGCCCAAGAGUUCAUAUCGACGGCGGUGUUUGGCACCUCGAUGUCGGCUCAUCACAUCCUGGGGCUGAAGUAGGUCCCAAGGGUAUGGCUGUUCGCCAUUUAAAGUGGUACGCGAGCUGGGUUUAGAACGUCGUGAGACAGUUCGGUCCCUAUCUGCCGUGGGCGCUGGAGAACUGAGGGGGGCUGCUCCUAGUACGAGAGGACCGGAGUGGACGCAUCACUGGUGUUCGGGUUGUCAUGCCAAUGGCACUGCCCGGUAGCUAAAUGCGGAAGAGAUAAGUGCUGAAAGCAUCUAAGCACGAAACUUGCCCCGAGAUGAGUUCUCCCUGACCCUUUAAGGGUCCUGAAGGAACGUUGAAGACGACGACGUUGAUAGGCCGGGUGUGUAAGCGCAGCGAUGCGUUGAGCUAACCGGUACUAAUGAACCGUGAGGCUUAACCUU